AUUUAUAUAUCUAGAAAGUAUCAAAUAUAUUUUUGGUCAGAUUUUUGAGCUGGAAGUCUAGAGUCUACUCUCAUGUGCAGGAAAUUAGGGUUUCGGUGAUACUAUUUUGCUUGUUUCAUGCUUGUGUUGGAUUUGUUUUGCCAUCACUUUCUAGAUUGAGGACCAUGGAAUGGAGACAGGCAGGUGGCCACCAACCUGGUGUACUUAGCACUGGUCAAGGACUUCAUAGUUAUUAUUAGUAUCCAAUUUGAAAGUGUUGGAAGUACAACUAGACUUGGGUGUUUAUAAGUGUUUCAUACUUUCAUACUUAAUUACUAAAGAUAAUUUUAGUUUUGGGCGCAAGAUUCUUUUAUCAUGUGCAAUGUGAAGUUGUAAGCUUGAUUGUGUAUGGCAAUGUAAAUGUUUGGCUUAA